rnacentral:rRNA from 54 species
CUGACCUCAAAUCAGGUAGGACUACCCGCUGAACUUAA